rnacentral:rRNA from 1 species
UACGUAGGUGACCAGCGUUGUCCGGAUUUACUGGGCGUAAAGAGCGCGCAGGCGGUCGUUCAAGUCGAGUGUGAAAGCCCCCGGCUCAACUGGGGAGGGUCAUUCGAUACUGAUCGACUUGAAGGCAGGAGAGGGAAGCGGAAUUCCCGGUGUAGUGGUGAAAUGCGUAGAUAUCCGGAGGAACACCAGUGGCGAAAGCGGCCACCUGGACUGCACCUGACGCUGACACGCGAAAGCUAGGGGAGCGAACGGG